rnacentral:rRNA from 1 species
CCUACGGGAGGCAGCAGUGGGGAAUUUUGGACAAUGGGGGGCAACCCUGAUCCAGCAAUGCCGCGUGAGUGAAGAAGGCCUUCGGGUUGUAAAGCUCUUUUGUCAGGGAAGAAACGGUGAGAGCUAAUAUCUCUUGCUAAUGACGGUACCUGAAGAAUAAGCACCGGCUAACUACGUGCCAGCAGCCGCGGUAAUACGUAGGGUGCAAGCGUUAAUCGGAAUUACUGGGCGUAAAGCGUGCGCAGGCGGUUAUACAAGACAGAUGUGAAAUCCCCGGGCUCAACCUGGGAAUUGCAUUUGUGACUGUAUGGCUAGAGUGUGUCAGAGGGGGGUAGAAUUCCACGUGUAGCAGUGAAAUGCGUAGAUAUGUGGAGGAAUACCGAUGGCGAAGGCAGCCCCCUGGGAUAACACUGACGCUCAUGCACGAAAGCGUGGGGAGCAAACAGGAUUAGAUACCCUGGUAGUCCACGCCCUAAACGAUGUCUACUAGUUGUCGGGUCUUAAUUGACUUGGUAACGCAGCUAACGCGUGAAGUAGACCGCCUGGGGAGUACGGUCGCAAGAUUAAAACUCAAAAUGAAUUGACGGCUGAGACGNGCGAGACGACGACGAGGGAGGAGG